GGUUCGAUCCCGUCCGGCUCCACCAUCAUAGGCUAUUUAUGCGUUAUGGAUCAUCAUGUUAGAGAACAAGUUUGCA
rnacentral:tRNA from 1 species